rnacentral:rRNA from 1 species
GAUGAACGCUGGCGGCGUGCUUUACACAUGCAAGUCGAACGAAGCACUUUAUUUGAUUUCCUUCGGGACUGAUUAUUUUGUGACUGAGUGGCGGACGGGUGAGUAACGCGUGGGUAACCUGCCUUGUACAGGGGGAUAACAGUUGGAAACGGCUGCUAAUACCGCAUAAGCGCACAGCAUCGCAUGAUGCAGUGUGAAAAACUCCGGUGGUAUAAGAUGGACCCGCGUUGGAUUAGCUAGUUGGUGAGGUAACGGCCCACCAAGGCGACGAUCCAUAGCCGACCUGAGAGGGUGACCGGCCACAUUGGGACUGAGACACGGCCCAAACUCCUACGGGAGGCAGCAGUGGGGAAUAUUGCACAAUGGGCGAAAGCCUGAUGCAGCGACGCCGCGUGAGCGAAGAAGUAUUUCGGUAUGUAAAGCUCUAUCAGCAGGGAAGAUAAUGACGGUACCUGACUAAGAAGCACCGGCUAAAUACGUG